UACGUAGGGUGCGAGCGUUGUCCGGAAUUAUUGGGCGUAAAGGGCUCGUAGGCGGUCUGUCGCGUCGGGAGUGAAAACUCAGGGCUUAACCCUGAGCCUGCUUCCGAUACGGGCAGACUAGAGGUAUGCAGGGGAGAACGGAAUUCCUGGUGUAGCGGUGGAAUGCGCAGAGUAUCAGGAGGAACACCGGUGGCGAAGGCGGUUCUCUGGGCAUUACCUGACGCUGAGGAGCGAAAGUGUGGGGAGCGAACAGG
rnacentral:rRNA from 1 species